rnacentral:rRNA from 1 species
GUAGAGAGUGCUUCGGGCGAGACCUCGGUCUAAGUCCAUUGGAACAUGGUGUCAUAGAGGGUGAGAAUCCCGUAUGCGACCGUGGCUCGAGCCCAUGUGAAGCCUCUUCGACGAGUCGAGUUGUUUGGGAAUGCAGCUCAAAAUGGGUGGUAAAUUUCAUCUAAAGCUAAAUACUGGCUGGAGACCGAUAGCGCACAAGUAGAGUGAUCGAAAGAUGAAAAGCACUUUGGAAAGAGAGUCAAACAGUACGUGAAAUUGUUGAAAGGGAAGCGCUUGCAACCAGACCUGCCCGUAGGCGAUCAGCCGCUGUUCUCAGCGGUGUACUCGCUCUGCGAUCAGGCCAGCAUCGGUUUCGGCGGUCGGAUAAAGACCUUGGGAAUGUAGCUUCCCUCCGGGGAAGUCUUAUAGCCCUCGGUGUAAUGCGGCCAGCCGGGACCGAGGACCGCGCUUCGGCUAGGAUGCUGGCGUAAUGGUUGUAAGCGACCCGUCUUGAAACACGGACCAAGGAGUCUAACAUCUAUGCGAGUGUUUGGGUGUCAAACCCAUACGCGGAAUGAAAGUGAACGGAGGUGAGAACCCUCAAGGGCGCAUCAUCGACCGAUCCAGAUGUCUUCGGAUGGAUUUGAGUAUGAGCAUAGCUGUUGGGACCCGAAAGAUGGUGAACUAUGCCUGAAUAGGGUGAAGCCAGAGGAAACUCUGGUGGAGGCUCGCAGCGGUUCUGACGUGCAAAUCGAUCGUCAAAUUUGGGUAUA